CUUACGAACUGAUAAGGACAACACAAUGAAGAGCACAGCUCGGCAGCCAUCCUGAGACAGGUUGUGUUGUUCACACCCUCCUGGAGGGACAGGGGAACUCAAUGGAGAGGUUGGAUGAUAAGGCGUAUGGAAAGAUCAAGCAGUGGCUGGUGGUCAAAAGCUUUAAGACAACCUAAACCUGUGAAAAGAGCUGGCCAUUCCUGAAGACCAUGUUUGGUGACAGUGAAGACAGCUGACCCAUCAGUGUCUAGGAGUGCAAAUCCCAAAGCUGUAAAUAAGACGAGGUCUAACAAGCUGCACCAUAGGAAGAAAAGUGAAAUAUGAAAUCAGUGUGCCGUAAUUCACAUGGUGUGAAGAUUUGCACGCCACCCCACUCUGUUUGGACCAUGCCUCAACUUCAAGGUCUUUUAGUGAACUCCUUCCUAUUGUGCUCCUGCAGUCUUCUGUGAUUGUCCGAAGAUAUUGUGUGGAUGGUCGGUACCUCCAAACUUCUAUUCUGUCAUGGUCCUAUAACAGCAAAUGAUCAAAGACAAAAUCUCCAACAUUUUUUUAUUAAACACAAUGUGUACCAAAGAAGAAAUCUGAUGGACCUAUUUAAUUAUUUAUUUUGAAUGUUCAUAAUGACCCACUUGCAUGGAGAAUAGCGACAAUCUUUACCUUUUCAUGAACUGGGAGGUUUCUUGUAUUUCUCAUAAACAAUGGUUAAAAUGAUAUAAUUAAAACCCUUUAUCAACCAGA